CCAUCGUCGUAUUCCUAUUCCUAUUCUCUUUUCGUUUUUCAUUGUAUUUACAUAGAUUUCUCUCUCUCUCUCUCUCUCUCCCUACUUUCUCUCAGGUCUUCUACUUCGACGUCGGCGAGAAUAGAAGGGGUCGUUUCCUCAAGGUACUCUCUGCGUUGACCUUAUCAUCCUUUUUGCCUUUGGCUUUUUCAAACUAUGCAGGCAUUCCUGGACCAUGGAAUACCAGAGAGUCCUGAAAUGGUUGUUGCCCUGAUGCAAAAGAUGCUAUAUAAAGUUGUAUGAUUCCCCUCCAAAGUCAACCACUGAGGAAGACGAUGAGAUGUCCAAGUUGCCUCCUUCUCAGAAAAAGAAAAUGAGGCAAAAAUUGAGAAAAGCAUAGGCUCGAGCUAAGAAAGAGGCUGAAGGUAAAAAUGAAGAAUCCAAUGCUAAUAGUGUCUCAAAGACUGGGAAACGAAAUGUGAAACCUGUUGAUCCAGAUCCCCAUGGGGAGAAAUUGUUGCAGGUAGAAGAUCCACUUUUAGAAGCUACAAAGUACUUGAA